rnacentral:tRNA from 1 species
GGGAACAGAUAGCAAGACCCGCACCGAACUUCAAAACCGGUAGGCGGCGGUACCCCCGUCGUUGGUAGGUUCGAUUCCUACGCCUUCCCGCCA